AGAAACUUAGGAUAGAAUUCCUACUUAAACCAGAGGCCUUCAAAGCCCCAAUACAAGAGAUAAAACCUCUUAGUUUCUGC
rnacentral:tRNA from 1 species